GAUACUGGGUGUCAGCUUUUAUGGUAGGAAAACAGUUGGUCUAUUUCUAAGCUGAACUUACAAUUCAGAGCUUUCAUCUGAGAAAGGAAACAUGUGGAGAAACGGAGAACAUUUCUUCCAGCUUCUGUAUCACCAUUCCAUGAAAACAGAGAUAGAGUCAGGGAUUUAAUAUAAAGCAGCUGGUGAAGAACCCCUAUUUGAAAAGCACCCCACCCAUGGGACAUUCUCACUGCUAUCAUGUACGUCACACAUUACAUCAUUGAUUUGACUUUAACCUCCAUAUGGGCAGAAUACUGGGAAGGAAAGGGGAAAGCUAGGUUUUAAAGACAGUGUGAUUAGAUGAUCACCUCUUGUCCUUUGCAAAUGUCUUUGUCACUGAUUUCUAUGAUUUCAGUGAGUUGCAGACACCUUGAAAAAGCAUUUGAGUUGAGUCUGUACGUCAUUUAUGAAAGUACUGACUGCUCCAGAGCUUUUCACGCUUAUUUUGUUCCAGUUCCAUGGGUGAUGGUGACUCCUUAAAUUCAACUCAAAGUCAGAAUAUAUUUCCACCAUAAGAAUCUUGAAUGGUUAUUUUAGAGUGAGUGCCCUAGGAGUCCCUUAGAAAUGUUAAUACCACACUAAGAGCCAGGGAAGAGCCAUUAACAGACUGAGAAUUGGAACUGCAAAGUGAAAAUGAGAUGUCAUCUACAUAGGAUGAAAUGAAGCAAGGAGAACUCUGAAGGAAAAUUUGGCUGAGAAAUAAUGGCUGUAGCCUGUGAGGGAGAGCUGAACCAAGUUAACAGUAAAGGUACAUAUGGAAGAACACUGUAAGGACAGUCACCGACUUAUGUGAUUGACUCCAUGGUGUGGGGACAAAGCACCAAGCAGGCUUUAUAUGAAUCUCAACCCAGAUGACGAAGAUAAUGAAGAAGAGAGGAAGUUCAGAUACUAAAACGGGUCAGGAAAAGUGGAGCUUCACAUUCACUCGGGAGGCGUGGUGAUCAUGUCACCUGAGGAUGGAUUACAACACUGGCGGUAACCCUGAAAAUAAACUUCAACCAAUUCAUAGAACUGUAAAUAUUAAAAGCAGUAUCUAGACAUCCCAGAGUUAGAAAACAGUGAUGUUAAAUCAAUAGACAAAUUAAAAUAUAACUGUACAGCUGACAUCAAUAUAAGAGAAUGAAAAAGAAAAUAAAUGAAGGUAACAAGCUUAUUAAAUGAGCUUUGAAUAUA